GACGAACGCUGGCGGCGUGCUUAACACAUGCAAGUCGAACGGAAAGGCCCUGCUUUUGUGGGGUGCUCGAGUGGCGAACGGGUGAGUAACACGUGAGUAACCUGCCCUUGACUUUGGGAUAACUUCAGGAAACUGGGGCUAAUACCGGAUAGGAGCUCCUGCUGCAUGGUGGGGGUUGGAAAGUUUCGGCGGUUGGGGAUGGACUCGCGGCUUAUCAGCUUGUUGGUGGGGUAGUGGCUUACCAAGGCUUUGACGGGUAGCCGGCCUGAGAGGGUGACCGGCCACAUUGGGACUGAGGUGCGGCCCAGACUCCUACGGGAGGCAGCAGUGGGGAAUAUUGCACAAUGGGCGGAAGCCUGAUGCAGCAACGCCGCGUGCGGGAUGACGGCCUUCGGGUUGUAAACCGCUUUCGCCUGUGACGAAGCGUGAGUGACGGUAAUGGGUAAAGAAGCACCGGCUAACUACGUG
rnacentral:rRNA from 1 species